rnacentral:tRNA from 1 species
GGGUGCUUAGCUCAGCUGGUUUAGAGCGCAUGCCCGACACGCAUGAGGUCGCUGGUUCGAAUCCAGCAGCACCCA